rnacentral:rRNA from 1 species
AGAGUUUGAUCCUGGCUCAGGAUGAACGCUAGCGGCAGGCCUAAUACAUGCAAGUCGAACGGUGUAGCAAUACAUAGUGGCGCACGGGUGCGUAACACGUAUGCAACCUACCUUAUACUGGGGGAUAGCCUUUGGAAACGGAGAUUAAUACCCCAUAGUACAUUUGAUUGGCAUCAAUUAAAUGUUAAAGAUUUAUCGGUAUAAGCUGGGCAUGCGUCCAAUUAGUUAGUUGGUGAGGUAAUGGCUCACCAAGACUUUGAUUGGUAGGGGAACUGAGAGGUUAAUCCCCCACACUGGCACUGAGAUACGGGCCAGACUCCUACGGGAGGCAGCAGUAGGGAAUAUUGGGCAAUGGAGGCAACUCUGACCCAGCCAUGCCGCGUGCAGGAAGAAGGCGUUAUGCGUUGUAAACUGCUUUUAUAUAGGAAGAAAUAGUCCUUGCGAGGAAAGUUGACGGUACUAUAUGAAUAAGCACCGGCUAACUCCGUGCCAGCAGCCGCGGUAAUACGGAGGGUGCAAGCGUUGUCCGGAUUUAUUGGGUUUAAAGGGUGCGUAGGCGGUUUAUUAAGUCAGUGGUGAAAGACGGUCGCUCAACGAUUGCAGUGCCAUUGAUACUGGUAG